GCUGGGCGUGGUGGCGGGUGCCUAUAAUCCCAGCUACUUGGGAGGCUGAGGCAGGAGAAUCGCUUGAACCCAGGAGGCUGAGACUGCAGUGAGCCAAGAUCACGCCACUGCACUCCAGCCUGGGUGACAGAGAGAGACUCUGUCUCAA
ensembl:misc_RNA Metazoa_SRP Metazoan signal recognition particle RNA